AUUGAACGCUGGCGGCAUGCUUUACACAUGCAAGUCGAACGGUAACAGGCCGCAAGGUGCUGACGAGUGGCGAACGGGUGAGUAAUGCAUCGGAACGUGCCCAGUCGUGGGGGAUAACGCAGCGAAAGCUGCGCUAAUACCGCAUACGAUCUAUGGAUGAAAGCGGGGGAUCGCAAGACCUCGCGCGGACGGAGCGGCCGAUGGCAGAUUAGGUAGUUGGUGGGAUAAAAGCUUACCAAGCCGACGAUCUGUAGCUGGUCUGAGAGGACGACCAGCCACACUGGGACUGGGACACGGCCCAGACUCCUACGGGAGGCAGCAGUGGGGAAUUUUGGACAAUGGGCGCAAGCCUGAUCCAGCCAUGCCGCGUGCAGGAUGAAGGCCUUCGGGUUGUAAACUGCUUUUGUACGGAACGAAAAGACUCUGGUUAAUACCUGGGGUCCAUGACGGUACCGUAAGAAUAAGCACCGGCUAACUACGUGCCAGCCGCCGCGGUAAUAC
rnacentral:rRNA from 1 species